rnacentral:rRNA from 1 species
GACGAACGCUGGCGGCGUGCUUAACACAUGCAAGUCGAACGCGCCUGUCCUCUGGGUUUCUGGGGGGUGGGUGAGUGGCGAACGGGUGAGUAACACGUGAGUAACCUGCCCCCUUCUUCGGGAUAACGGUCUGAAAGGGCUGCUAAUACCGGGUAUUCACUGGUCUCCGCAUGGGGUCUGGGGGAAAGGUUUUUUUCUGGUGGGGGAUGGGCUCGCGGCCUAUCAGCUUGUUGGUGGGGUGAUGGCCCACCAAGGCUUUGACGGGUAGCCGGCCUGAGAGGGUGACCGGUCACAUUGGGACUGAGAUACGGCCCAGACUACUACGGGAGGCAGCAGUGGGGAAUAUUGCACAAUGGGCGCAAGCCUGAUGCAGCGACGCCGCGUGAGGGAUGGAGGCCUUCGGGUUGUGAACCUCUUUCGCCCGUGGUCAAGCCGCGACGUGGGUCGUGGUGAGGGUAGUGGGUAAAGAAGCGCCGGCUAACUACGUG